GGAGAGGUCGCAUAGUUGGUCUAGUGCGGUCGUCUCGAAAGCGACUAACCCCCACAAAGGGUUCGCGGGUUCGAAUCCCGCCCUCUCCG
rnacentral:tRNA from 1 species